AUCCAUUUCAAGUGAGCUCUGGUUGGAAAAGGAUGGGAUGCGUGACUGCAUUUAGUUUGAAAGUUGAUGACGAUCACCUUAUCUAAUAAGUCCGAUUCAUUUCGAUGGACCCUAUUUGCUUCUGGCGUGCUUUCUGUUAAAUCAGUGUACGUGGACUUGAUUAAUUCUGGACCAGUUCUCCGGCCCAUGCAUCGAGCGAGCUCUUUAUGGAGUACAAUAUUGGGGCCGGUUCCUCAAAAUAUCCAUUUCACAUGA
rnacentral:rRNA from 1 species